GACGAACGCUGGCGGCGUGCCUAAUACAUGCAAGUCGAGCGGACUUCAUCCUUCGGGGUGAGGUUAGCGGCGGACGGGUGAGUAACACGUAGGCAACCUGCCCUCGAGACUGGGAUAACCUCCGGAAACGGAUGCUAAUACCAGAUACGCAGUCUUCCCUCCUGGGGAGAUCGGGAAAGACGGAGCAAUCUGUUACUCGGGGAUGGGCCUGCGGCGCAUUAGCUAGUUGGUGAGGUAACGGCUCACCAAGGCGACGAUGCGUAGCCGACCUGAGAGGGUGAUCGGCCACACUGGGACUGAGACACGGCCCAGACUCCUACGGGAGGCAGCAGUAGGGAAUCUUCCGCAAUGGACGAAAGUCUGACGGAGCAACGCCGCGUGAGUGAGGAAGGCCCUCGGGUCGUAAAGCUCUGUUGCCAGGGAAGAACGCUUGGGAGAGUAACUGCUCCCAAGGUGACGGACCUGAGAAGAAAGCCCCG
rnacentral:rRNA from 1 species